rnacentral:rRNA from 1 species
AGCGAACGCUGGCGGCAGGCCUAACACAUGCAAGUCGAACGAACCUUUCGGGGUUAGUGGCGGACGGGUGAGUAACACGUGGGAACGUGCCUUUAGGUUCGGAAUAACUCAGGGAAACUUGUGCUAAUACCGAAUGUGCCCUUCGGGGGAAAGAUUAAUCGCCUUUAGAGCGGCCCGCGUCUGAUUAGCUAGUUGGUUGAGGUAAUGGCUCACCAAGGCGACGAUCAGUAGCUGGUCUGAGAGGAUGAUCAGCCACAUUGGGACUGAGACACGGCCCAAACUCCUACGGGAGGCAGCAGUGGGGAAUCUUGCGCAAUGGGCGAAAGCCUGACGCAGCCUUGCCGCGUGAAUGAUGAAGGUCUUAGGAUUGUAAAAUUCUUUCACCGGGGACGAUAAUGACGGUACCCGGAGAAGAAGCCCCGGCUAACUUCGUG